rnacentral:tRNA from 1 species
UUAAUUGAAGCCAAAAAGAGGCGUAUCACUGUUAAUGGUAUAAUUGAGUACAAACUCCAAUUAAG